GCCAAUGUCUAGGAAGAAAUAAUUGUAAACCACAUUAAUUUUGCUACCUUUCUGUCUUUCAGUUCAGUCUGACAGUGAAACUACAACAGCUUCAUCAGAUUGUCGUGAGGAGCAGUUCCCUUGCACACGCCUGUAUUCUGUUCACAAACCGGUAAAGCAGUGUAUCAGCUACCUUUGCGUUACCAGUGUGCGUCGCAUGUACGUAAUAAACAAGGAGGUGUGCUCUCGCAUUGUCUGCAAGGAAAAUGAAGUCAUGCAAGGUGAGUUA